GGGCCGGUAGUUCAGCUUGGUAUACAUUUGGCCAAAGAACGUCCGGUUCGCAUGUAUGACCGAGAAACCGGAAGGCCGCGGGUUCAAAUCCCGCCCGGUCCA
rnacentral:tRNA from 1 species